AGCGAACGCUGGCGGCAUGCCUAACACAUGCAAGUCGCACGGGGGGGCUUCGGACUCCCAGUGGCGGACGGGUGAGGAACGCGUAGGGACCUGUCGAGGGGUGGGGGAUAACCGCGGGAAACUGCGGCUAAUACCGCAUGACGCCGCGGCGUGACAGCCGGGGCCAAAGGCGAAAGCCGCCCGCCGAGGGGCCUGCGUCCGAUUAGCUGGUUGGCGGGGUAGCGGCCCACCAAGGCGUCGAUCGGUAGCUGGUCUGAGAGGGUGAUCAGCCACACCGGGACUGAGACACGGCGCGGACUCCUACGGGAGGCAGCAGUGGGGAAUAUUGGACAAUGGGCGCAAGCCUGAUCCAGCAAUGCCGCGUGGGUGAAGAAGGUCUUCGGAUUGUAAAGCCCUUUCGGCGGGGACGAUGGUGACGGUACCCGCAGAAGAAGCCCCGGCUAACUUCGUG
rnacentral:rRNA from 1 species